UACGUAGGGUGCGAGCGUUGUCCGGAUUUAUUGGGCGUAAAGAGCUCGUAGGCGGUUUGUCGCGUCUGCUGUGAAAACUGGGGGCUCAACUCCCAGCCUGCAGUGGGUACGGGCAGACUAGAGUGCGGUAGGGGAGAUUGGAAUUCCUGGUGUAGCGGUGGAAUGCGCAGAUAUCAGGAGGAACAGCCGGUGGCGAAGGCGGGUCUCUGGGCCGAUACUGACGCUGAGGAGCGAAAGCGUGGGGAGCGAACAGG
rnacentral:rRNA from 1 species